rnacentral:lncRNA from 1 species
CGGGGGUUCAAGUGAUUCUCAUGCCUCAGCUUCCUGAGUAGCUGGGAUUACAGGCAUGCAGCGUCACUCCCAGCUCAUUUUUUUUGUAAUUUUAGUAGAGACAUGGUUUCACCAUGUUGGCCAGGCUGGUCUCGAACUCCUGACCUCAAAUGAUCCACCUGCCUCAGCUUCCCAAAGUGCUGGGAUUACAGACAGGAGCCACCGCACCUGGCCUUCAUUGCUUUUUGAUGUCAUUAUUACCCAAGUGCUGAGAAGGUGCUGUUUAGAGGCCAACUUAGAGAAGUGGAAAAAGCAGAGAGAGUGUCGUCAGACAGAAAAAAGAAGCCAACUGAAAAGAGAUCUGAGCGCUGAUCCCCGUGAGAAAGGACAAAGUCACAUCCAAAGAAGCCGUUAUGCUGCCUUUGUUCCUGGACUCUACAGAGAUCCAUAUCCAGUGUGAAACAUCUCUCUGAUCACGUAUUAGAAGUCAGCAAAUAUCAUUGAAUGCAUGAAAUGAAUCAAUCCCAUGGAAAUUUAGUUUUAAACGAAGCUUUAUUGUGAAAGAUUUCAAGCAUUGGGAAGUAAAUUGCUGGGAGCAAGCCCCCCAAAAUCUGGCUAUAAACCAGCCCCAAAACUGCCCAUAAACAAAAUCUCUGCAGCACUGUGACAUGUUCAUAAUGGCACUAACGCCCAAGCUGGAAGGUUGUGGGUUUACGGGAAUGAGGGCAAGGAACACCUGGCCCGCCCAGGGCGGAAAACCGCUUAAAGGCAUUCUUAAGCCACAAACAAUAGCAUGAGCGAUCUGUGUCUUAAGGGCAUGUUCCUGCUGCAGUUAAUUAGCCCAACCUAGUCCUUUAAUUUGGCCCAUCCCUUCAUUUCCCAUAAGGGAUACUUUUAGUUAAUUUAAUAUCUAUAGAAACAAUGCUAGUGACUGGUUUGCUGUUAAUAAAUAUGUGGGUAAAUCUCUGUUCAGGGCUCUCAGCUCUGAAGGCUGUGAGACCCCUGAUUUCCCACUUCACACCU